AUACGGAGGGUGCAAGCGUUAAUCGGAAUUACUGGGCGUAAAGCGUACGUAGGCGGUUCGUUAAGUUAGAUGUGAAAGCCCCGGGCUUAACCUGGGAACUGCAUUUAAAACUGGCGAACUAGAGUUGAGUAGAGGGGAGUGGAAUUUCAGGUGUAGCGGUGAAAUGCGUGGAGAUCUGAGGGAACACCAGUGGCGAAGGCGACUCCCUGGACUCGAACUGACGCUGAGGUACGAAAGCGUGGGUAGCAAACGGGAGUAGAAACCCUAGUAGUCC
rnacentral:rRNA from 1 species